GGUACGCCUGGGAAUCAACAGGCCGGGCGCUCUCCUCUACCGCCUCCUGCCCCCUGGAAUUGGGUGGGGGGCCUUUGGCAUGGACAUCUGGACCGACAUCUGGACCAGACACAACUUGAGAAAUACAGAGGUCAGGCUUCUCUUGAGCUGGAACAGCUGGGACAGACACCCAGCCCAUCUCACAAACCACAGACUAAGCCAUGCAGCCCCUAUUGCUCUUUCCUCUGAGCUCCUCACACAGCUCCAGGAGAGAUGGGUACCCCUGUUCCUUGCAGGAACACCUGACCAGGAUACAGGUAUUGUCCGUGUUGCUGUGCCGAUGGACACCCUCAGUAUUUUCUGGCCGACAAACACUCAAGUUGUAUUGACAGAGAGGAAGAUGCCCAGUCUGAGCCGAGAACAAGGAACCACCAAUCUCCCUGUUCUAAUGCCAGCUCCAAGGUUGACUCUCUUGGCCGAGUUGUAUUAUCUGCCUAUGCCAUCAUUAGGGUGGGCAUUAAGGAAACCCGCCAGCCACACGGGGGGAUUAUUGCAUGGGUGGCAGCACCAUAAGGUGCAAACAAGUCCAUACAGUUAAUCUAAUGUGAGAACCCAACUGCUAGAACUGCUCUCUCACAAUCCUAUUUCUCCUGGGUGACAAUGCCACGCAGUAGAGUUAAGGGUGCAAGGGUGCCCAUGUGUUUGGAUUUCUUUUCAACAGAACACAAAUUUCCUUGUUGGUUUGAGGAAUAAUUACAACAUCCUUGUACAGCUACUUACCCAUACAUUACUGAAGCACCCUCCACCUCAACUCAAAGUUACCCUAAUUAUUUUGGUCUUGGCGCUUCAGAGAUGGGUGUGCAUAGAAUACAGCUCUUUGGUUCACGUAUUCAUUCAGCAGUUGCUUCUGUGCGACACAGAGCCAAUGACAAGACCAAACCAAAAUCACACUGUGUUAUGGCACGUCUAAGAGGUCCCAACCCUGCUUUAAGCUCCAUGGUGCUCGGCACAGCCGUGAGAGAGAGUUUCUAUCUUCAGGAAGUCAUUUUCUAAAUUAAAACUCCACCACCACAUUUCACAGAGGUCCUUGAGAGUCUUCUGCCCGCUUUCCUGCCUGUUAAGUACUGGAACGCACCCAAACGCCAGAAUUCAUUGAGCUGGAGCAAAGAAUACCACUGGGCCAGGUUUUUUCUGGAUGAAAUCAGAGUUCAUCUCAGCCGUGCUCUGAAUAGCUCAGUAACUGGCAAACCUGCCCUGAACUAAUGAUUUAGAACAAUAUUCACACCGCUUGUCUCACGACCUACAUUUUUGUAGCAUCUUAGACAGAACAGCUGUAGGGCUGAUUCAGAGGGGAGGCUGAGCUCCUGCCUGCCAACAAAUCAUGGUGGUAAGCUUCAGACCUGCAUGGGGCAGCAUCCCACCUUACGUGCUAUCUUUGAUUUGGGCCCACUGCAUCACGUUGGGGCUGGGCGAAAGGAGUGUAGCAAUAAAAGCAAGCAACGCAUAUAUAUCUGAGAAGAUAAGAGCUCUUAAUUUUAAUUCUCACCUUCAGCAGACAAGGUUCUUUGGGUAAAUGUGAUAUCUUUUAUUAAGCCAACUACGUUUAGUUGGUCAAAUAAAAUAUAUCACAUUUACCCAAAGAACCUUGUCUGCCCAUGUCCUUCGAACAACCAACACCCCCAAACUCUCACCUUCCACAUUCUUGGCCUGUAAAGUAUGACGACGUAUGGCUUGUUUUCUCUGCGGCACCAGCUCACACUGCAACUUGAGUGUAAGCUGCUCCCUACUCCCAUCUACACAUGGUCUCUGGCUUGAGAUCUGGACUCAAGCGAGCUGGCCCACCAGGGUCUGAAGCUGGAGUGUGGCUGCUGCUCGCACCAGUAAUGCAGAGGGGUACAGAUGCAGGUUAGAGCAACUCAGCACAACUGCUGCUCCACUUGCACCGUGCAGCUAGAGUGGUUUUUUGCAGUGCGGCCACUUUGACUCAAGCAAGGCACGGGGUCAUUUUUAAGAACCAGAACUGGGCAGGUCCUUGGCAUCAUGUCUCCUCUGGAAGGGGGUGCCACGGUGGCCCUUUGGCCUAUGCUGGGACAUUGUUUCAAUGCUGACUUAGAAGGAAAAGUGCCAUGUGCUACACAAAUGUCACUUGCUGCAGCCCCAGAGUUUUCCCUGGUCUCCCAGCCACGUUCUGACCCCGCUCAACCCUGUCCAGCCCAUGAGAUCCCAUGGGUUGGGAUGGGAUUGAGAGCACAGAACAGCAUGGCUGCACAGAGCAUCUGAACUGGGAAAUGAAAUUAAUCUGCAAAAUAUUGCAGUGCCAUUUUGGUACAUUUUAGCUGAUUUAUUCUCUCCUCGUUAAGAGGAGCUAAUUAACAAACCAUCAUUUAAAUAAACAGCAGUGAGUGUG